GUUCUUGUAGCUUACAAUAAAGCAUGGCACUGAAGAUGCCAAGACGGUUAACCUAUACACCCAAGAACA
rnacentral:tRNA from 1 species